AGGUGCUCAUGGCCUGCUGAAGACUGAUGUUGGAACAGAAGAGCUGAGAAACACACCUGCCCCUACCUCAAGCCCUGCACCAAGUAAAAGUCAGCAGCAAUAUACCCUGGGGAAAGGGCUAGAGUGUGGCUGGAGAUCUUGCUGAAAGCUGGAGGUGGAGGAGGAAUACAAAGAUAAGAUUUUAGGACUCCAGGCUUCACAACUCCUUCUACAUCUGUUGUUCAAGGUUCAGACUCAAUAUGCAACUAAUUUAUGAAGCCCGUUUAGACCACAACAACCCUGAUGCAAGAUGUUCUCCACUAUGUUAAGAUGCAGCAUGAAGCCCUUACCAGAAGCUAAGAGUAUUCCGUUAGAGCAACACAAAACAGACUAAGACAACUUGUUCAUUACUGAUGUACAGAUUUCACUGACCAGCAACACUCCAGUGAAACUGCAGUCAAAAUUUAUGGAGUCUGCAGUAAAUAUGAAGCUAAAGUAACAGGCAAUGAAGAGCUCACCUGCUGCCUCCAGGGCUGCUUAACAUGCUGCAACCAGGCUGAAUGGUGCAUAUUGGACUGGAACCUGGAUCCUUGAGUAAAUGAAAGGAGAAAAGCCCCUAUCCAGUAUAUCAGAUUUGUGUAAACCAAAAAAUAAACUUUCAAUAUGCACUCUCCAGGAAAAGCUGCCUGCUAGAUAACAUGAAGACACGCCAGCAGCCUCAUGGGGGUGGAGGGAAGAGAGGCCUCAUGGUGAGGGACUGAGGCCUCCUACUAAAAGCCAGCACUAACUUGUCAGGCAUGAAAGUGAGCCACCUGGAAGCACAUCUUCAGCCCCUGUGGACCCUUUAGAUGACUGCAGGCCCUGCUGACAUCUUGACUGAAACCUCAUGAGACAGCUAGAACCAGAAUCGCCCAGAGAGAAGAACAUCAAAGGUGCGGGUUUAGGGCCCAGAAAGCCACUGGCCCCUUAAUAUCCAGAAAAGGACAAAAACUCACGGGAGUCAAGCACUGUUUGCCUGGAAGAAGAAAGAUAAAGACACAGACAAGCCCUGCUCCCCCACCAGCCAAAACUACUAUUCUACCUGUUUCCUGAUUCUGACCCACGUAUAUUCACUUGUUUCAUCAUUUUCUCAUUCAAAAAUAUAUUCAUUCAAUUAAUAAUGAUUUACUGAGUGUGUAUUAUGUAGCCAGUGCUUGCAUGGAACUCAGAUUACAGCUGGAAAUGAAACAGAUCUGGUCUUACACCCUCUGUACAUCUUCUUCCUCCUGUUACCACUCUAUCCUGUCUUCAACCUCAACUUCACUACUAAUUUCAUACUUAAUCAUAUCUUAACAGCUCUCAAUAAAAAUGUAAAAACAUAGACAAAAUUAUUCCUUACUCAAUAUUUCUGGCAACGGCUACUGCUGUUCUCUUCUCUCUCUCCAUUAUCUGAAAAGAGGAAUAAUACAAUCACCUCCUCUUAAUCCCUCAAUCCUUAGCACUCUGAUUCUAUUCCCACCUCUGCAGGGAAACCACAGUGGACUUCUUUAUGAGGUCAUUUAUGAAUUCCUUCUGAGUGCUCUAUGACAUUUAAAGCAGUUUUCCACAACUGCUUCCAUUGUCACCUGGGACCUCAUUAUCUCUUGUUUUUCCUAAUUCCUCAGUGCUUCUUUUUUGGCAUCAAAUGACAUUAUCCACCCAAUGUUUUGCCUACGGUUUCACUCUAUGCCCUAUUUCAUGUCCACUGCAUGUAAGUAAACUCCUCUGAAGACACCUUUUCAACUACAAUUCUGAAUAAUUCAUCUUUUCAGUAAAUUUUUCCUGAGUGCUCCCUGUGGUUCAGGCACAGUUCUAGAUGGUGGAAAUAAAGCAAAGUUCUCACCCUCGUGAAGUUUAUUUCUAGUCAGGGAAGACAUGAAAUAAAGAAUGUGUCAAGAGAUCAUACAUGCUAUGAUAAAGCACUGCACAAUCUCAACCUCUCAAAUUUUUCUUCUCUCUCUUAUGCCCAAAUCUUGUCUUCCCCACUACCCUAAACAUUUCUCUGAAUAUGUGAAUUCAACAUAUUCCAAACUGAGUUCAUCAUGAAUUCCCCUCUACUUGCCACCCCCUUAGGUCUCUAUCAGUUCUCAUUCUCAGCGACUUGAACCAUGAUGUACCCAGUGGCUUCAACUUUGAUACAUUUUCUGUAUUGCCAGUGGUAUCAUUUUUUUCUAAAAUGUAAUAGUUGUGUCUUUGCCUUACCCAAAUUCUCCUAGCAGUUCUCCAUCCAGGGUCAAGCCCAAACUCUUUAGGAUACCAGAGAAAGCCUUCCUGCCUCUUGUCCCUUCUAUGUCCUUCAGGAUACACUUUCUUGCUUUCACCUCUUGGCUCAAGCUCUUUCUUUUGCUAAUCAUGGCCCCUCUCACUCAACCACACCUCCAUUUAGCUAACUCCAACUCAGGCAUUUUUCA